AGUGAACGCUGGCGGUAGGCCUAACACAUGCAAGUCGAACGGCAGCACAGUAAGAGCUUGCUCUUACGGGUGGCGAGUGGCGGACGGGUGAGGAAUACAUCGGAAUCUACUUUUUCGUGGGGGAUAACGUAGGGAAACUUACGCUAAUACCGCAUACGACCUACGGGUGAAAGCAGGGGAUCUUCGGACCUUGCGCGAUUGAAUGAGCCGAUGUCGGAUUAGCUAGUUGGCGGGGUAAAGGCCCACCAAGGCGACGAUCCGUAGCUGGUCUGAGAGGAUGAUCAGCCACACUGGAACUGAGACACGGUCCAGACUCCUACGGGAGGCAGCAGUGGGGAAUAUUGGACAAUGGGCGCAAGCCUGAUCCAGCCAUACCACGUGGGUGAAGAGGGCCUUCGGGUUGUAAAGCCCUUUUGUUGGGAAAGAAAAGCAGCAGGUUAAUACCCCGCUGUUCUGACGGUACCCAAAGAAUAAGCACCGGCUAACUUCGU
rnacentral:rRNA from 1 species